rnacentral:rRNA from 1 species
CCUACGGGUGGCAGCAGUGGGGAAUAUUGCACAAUGGGGGAAACCCUGAUGCAGCGACGCCGCGUGAGUGAAGAAGUAAUUCGUUAUGUAAAGCUCUAUCAGCAGGGAAGAAAAUGACGGUACCUGAGUAAGAAGCCCCGGCUAACUACGUGCCAGCAGCCGCGGUAAUACGUAGGGGGCAAGCGUUAUCCGGAUUUACUGGGGGUAAAGGGAGCGUAGACGGCAGUGCAAGUCUGGAGUGAAAGGGGGGGGCUCAACCCCCGGAGUGCUCUGGAAACUGUACGGCUGGAGUGCAGGAGAGGUAAGUGGAAUUCCUAGUGUAGCGGUGAAAUGCGUAGAUAUUAGGAGGAACACCAGUGGCGAAGGCGGCUGACUGGACUGUAACUGACGUUGAGGCUCGAAAGCGUGGGGAGCAAACAGGAUUAGAUACCCCGGUAGUC